GGGCAUAUGGUGUAGGGGUUAUCACGUUCGCUUUGCAUAAUUCGACACUUUAGGGGCUGCUUCCACUUGCUCUGCGAAAGGUCUCCGGUUCAAAUCCGGAUUUGUCCA